AAAACGACUCUCGGCAACGGAUAUCUCGGCUCUCGCAUCGAUGAAGAACGUAGCAAACUGCGAUACUUGGUGUGAAUUGCAGAAUCCCGUGAACCAUCGAGUCUUUGAACGCAAGUUGCGCCCGAAGCCAUUAGGCCGAAGGCACGUCUGCCUGGGCGUCACGC
rnacentral:rRNA from 1 species